GGACUCCCGCCCGCCCUCACACCGCGCCUCACGCCAGGCCCCCAGGCUUCGGGUAAACCCUGCCUGUGGAAUGCAGAGCGAUUGACGCUGUCCACCUCAAAAGACGUCAGAAGCUUCAAGGAAGAUGUCCCAGGGGGACUGUGCUGUGAAACAGAUGAAACAGUGAAGAAGAGAAGAGUUCGUGCUAUGGCGUACCCAUGGACACUGCCUCCCCUGCUAUCCGGCUCUGCUGUGCGUGCUAGAGCUGGCAUCAUGCAGGGUAUUUGCGUACAUAUAUGUCUGUGUACCUCGUGUGUUUUUGGUGCCUGUGGAGGCCAGAAAAGGGCAUUGGAUGCCCUGGGACUGGAAAUGCAGAUGGUUGUGAGGCACCAUAUGGGUGCUGGAAAUCAAACCCAGGUCCUCUAGAAGAUCACUCCUGUUCCUGGGCUCGCCUGACCACUUCUUCCUGUAGUUCAUCCAAUUCACUUCUAGAGGUGACCUCCCCAUCUGAGAUAGAAGCAAAGAAGAUCAAUUACCACACCUCCAGAAUCAAGGCGAAUUAUCUGUUAACCUUAUGGUCACGAUGCCAUUUUCCCUUGGAGCUCUCGCUUUCCAGUUUGUUUCAGAUCCCUUUUCAUUAGAAACAGAGAGAGCAGCACAGGCCACGAAUAGUGACGGUGUUUACAGCAUGUAUAUUUUCAAUAUCUCAUGAAUACUAACAGUGUAACUCUUAAUAUGUUUUAAGCAUUUUCAAUAUACUAAGAACAAUUUU
ensembl:antisense 1810062O18Rik RIKEN cDNA 1810062O18 gene